ACGGAGCAGAACUAACAAGGAUUCCCCUAGUAACUGCGAGUGAAGCGGGAAAAGCUCAAAUUUAAAAUCUGAGGGUCUUGUUGGCCUUCCGAGUUGUAAUCUAGAGAAGUGCUAUCCGCGCUGGACCGUGUACAAGUCUCCUGGAACGGAGCGUCAUAGAGGGUGAGAAUCCCGUCUUUGACACGGACUACCAGGGCUUUGUGUGAUACGCUCUCAAAGAGUCGAGUUGUUUGGGAAUGCAGCUCUAAAUGGGUGGUAAAUUCCAUCUAAAGCUAAAUAUUGGCGAGAGACCGAUAGCGAACAAGUACCGUGAGGGAAAGAUGAAAAGAACUUUGGAAAGAGAGUUAAAAAGUACGUGAAAUUGUUGAAAGGGAAACGCUUGAAGUCAGUCGCAUUGGCCAGGGAUCAACCUUGCUUUUGCUUGGUUUAUUUUCUGGUUAAUGGGUCAGCAUCAAUUUUGAUCGGUGGAAAAAGAUCAAGGGAAUGUGGCAUCUUCGGAUGUGUUUUAUAGCCUUUGGUUGUAUACAUCGAUUGGGAUUGAGGAACUCAGCACGCCGCAAGGCCGGGUUUUUAACCACGUACGUGCUUAGGAUGCUGGCAUAAUGGCUUUAAUCGACCCGUCUUGAAACACGGACCAAGGAGUCUAACAUGCACGCGAGUGUUUGGGUGGAAAACCCGAGCGCGUAAUGAAAGUGAAAAUUGAGAUCCCUGUCGUGGGGAGCAUCGAUGCCCGGACCAGAUCUUUUGUGACGGUUCCGCGGUUGAGCGUGUAUGCUGGGACCCGAAAGAUGGUGAACUAUGCCUGAAUAGGGUGAAGCCAGAGGAAACUCUGGUGGAGGCUCGUAGCGAUUCUGACGUGCAAAUCGAUCGUCAAAUUUGGGUAUAGGGGCGAAAGACUAAUCGAACCAUCAGUGGCU
rnacentral:rRNA from 1 species